rnacentral:rRNA from 1 species
CAUGCAAGUCGAGGGGAAACGACAUCGAAAGCUUGCUUUUGAUGGGCGUCGACCGGCGCACGGGUGAGUAACGCGUAUCCAACCUGCCCACCACUUGGGGAUAACCUUGCGAAAGUAAGACUAAUACCCAAUGACGUCUCUAGAAGACAUCUGAAGGAGAUUAAAGAUUUAUCGGUGAUGGAUGGGGAUGCGUCUGAUUAGCUUGUUGGCGGGGUAACGGCCCACCAAGGCGACGAUCAGUAGGGGUUCUGAGAGGAAGGUCCCCCACAUUGGAACUGAGACACGGUCCAAACUCCUACGGGAGGCAGCAGUGAGGAAUAUUGGUCAAUGGACGAGAGUCUGAACCAGCCAAGUAGCGUGCAGGAUGACGGCCCUAUGGGUUGUAAACUGCUUUUAUAAGGGAAUAAAGUGAGUCUCGUGAGACUUUUUGCAUGUACCUUAUGAAUAAGGACCGGCUAAUUCCGUGCCAGCAGCCGCGGUAAUACGGAAGGUCCGGGCGUUAUCCGGAUUUAUUGGGUUUAAAGGGAGCGUAGGCCGGAGAUUAAGCGUGUUGUGAAAUGUAGACGCUCAACGUCCGCACUGCAGCGCGAACUGGUUUCCUUGAGUACGCACAAAGUGGGCGGAAUUCGUGGUGUAGCGGUGAAAUGCUUAGAUAUCACGAAGAACUCCGAUUGCGAAGGCAGCUCACUGGAGCGCAACUGACGCUGAAGCUCGAAAGUGCGGGUAUCGAACAGGAUUAGAUACCCUGGUAGUCCGCACGGUAAACGAUGGAUGCCCGCUGUUGGUCUGAAUAGGUCAGCGGCCAAGCGAAAGCAUUAAGCAUCCCACCUGGGGAGUACGCCGGCAACGGUGAAACUCAAAGGAAUUGACGGGGGCCCGCACAAGCGGAGGAACAUGUGGUUUAAUUCGAUGAUACGCGAGGAACCUUACC